rnacentral:ncRNA from 1 species
GUCAGCUCGUGUCGUGAGAUGUUGGGUUAAGUCCCGCAACGAGCGCAACCCUUAAGCUUAGUUGCCAUCAUUAAGUUGGGCACUCUAAGUUGACUGCCGGUGACAAACCGGAGGAAGGUGGGGAUGACGUCAAAUCAUCAUGCCCCUUAUGAUUUGGGCUACACACGUGCUACAAUGGACAAUACAAAGGGUAGCGAAACCGCGAGGUCAAGCAAAUCCCAUAAAGUUGUUCUCAGUUCGGAUUGUAGUCUGCAACUCGACUAUAUGAAGCUGGAAUCGCUAGUAAUCGUAGAUCAGCAUGCUACGGUGAAUACGUUCCCGGGUCUUGUACACACCGCCCGUCACACCACGAGAGUUUGUAACACCCGAAGCCGGUGGAGUAACCAUUUGGAGCUAGCCGUCGAAGGUGGGACAAAUGAUUGGGGUGAAGUCGUAACAAGGUAGCCGUAUCGGAAGGUGCGGCUGGAUCACCUCCUUU